CGGCCUCCCGCCUGCCGCCUUGCGGCCGGGCCGCCUCCGCCGGUCGGCGCCUCCCGCCCACCCCGCGCUGGCCCGCGGGCCCGGCGCGACUCCUCCUCCCGACCCCGACUCGAGUUUUCAUCUCACUGAAAAUUCAAAAUCAAAAUCAAAACCAGCUGAGAUAGUUACUCGGGUGCCUUCCUUCAGCUUAUUCAAAAGAACACAGAAUGAACGGCUUUAAGACAUGUCAUGGAAAAUGUUAAGAGAAGACGGUCUCUUCUUCUGUGUUGGUGCCUGUUAAUUUCACACCUUGAAGAGAGUCCUCAUAUCAACAAUGAAGCGUCUAUUUUUAAGACACUGAAUUAAAGAUUAUUUAUGAAGAGGUAACAACAACAAAAAAGUCAAAACGGAGUGUCACUCUGGCAUCGACAUGGUGUUCCUGAUUGCUCUUGACUAGGAUUUUUAAAGGCUUAAUGUGGUUCCUGCACAACCUUUAUAAGAAUGCGGCAGCACUGCUCCAAGAAAGUACUCGGGGGGCAAGAACGGAUGGAGACAGCAACCCCAGAGGAGUGGGACAUGGACAAUGGCGAGGUAGCAGAGUGCAGCUCUGUCCAGAGAAAGCUGUGUCCACCCACCACCUGCACAGGGGAUGCCAUGUUGCUGGACACAGAGACCCAUGGAACCCGCCAGAGCAGCAAAAUGACAAAGAGCCCUCCUGUCCUGCUGAGCGGUGACCAGUUACCCAGGAAGAGCCUUCCUCCCAGAGCUGCUGGGCUUGGAAGGGGCGACUCUCAAAUCACGCUCCUCCCCCUGCCCUGCCCCACCUGCGUCUCAGAGGGCCACGCUGUUGCCCCAUCCCACCGCCCUUGGUAAGGCUGGGUGGGUACUUUGAGGAGGAUAUAAAUUGAAAUGUGCUAUUUUUACUUUUACUUGAGAGACAGAGAGACAGGUGACGGUGGGUUGGGGGAGAUCCUGCCUACUGGUUCACUCCACAGAUGCCCGUGAUGGCCAUAGUGCUGGAGUUGGGAGCCUAGAACUCAAUCCAGUUCUCCCAUGUGGGUGGUAGGAAGCCUAUCACCUGAGUCAUCACUGCUGUUCCCUGCAGUCCACAUUAGCAGAAAGCUGGAGAAAGAUACUGAGCCCAGGUACUCAGUUACGGGGUGCUGGCAUCCUAAGCCAUGUCGUAACUGGUAGGCCAAAUGCUUGCCCCCAUGUAUGCUUUAAUUCCAAUGCGCUAAUGAUACUGUAAAACCUACUGAAGAUGUCUAGGGAUAUGCCAACCAUUCACCCUCUUAAAAAAAAGCCCCAGAGAGUGGCUGACAUGAAGUAGUGGGUUAAGCUUCCACCUGUGAUGCUGGUAUCCCAUAUGGGUGCCAGUGGGAGUCCUGGCUUCUCCAUCUCUGAUCCAGCUCUUUGCUAAUAUGCCUGCGUGUGGGGGACUUCAGAGGACGGCCUGAGUACUUGGGCCCCUGCCUCCUGCAUGGGAGACCCGGAUGGAGUUCCAAGCUCCUGACUUCCACCGGGCCUGGCUGUGGUCGUGGCUGUCAUUUGGGGAGUGAACUAGCAGUUGGAAGAUAUCUCUCUGCUCUGUCUCUUUCUCUCCCUCCGUAGCUCUGCCUUUCAGAUAGAUAGGUAGAUCUUUAAAAAAAAAAAAAAAAAAACAGAAACAUUGAUGGAGUCAAGAGAAGACGGUCAGUUCGCCUGCAGUAAGAGAGAACAUCUCUCUUUACAGGGCUUUAAUGGUGCCUCAGAUGGGGAAGGGGAAGCGAUGAUUUUAACGUGGCGAUUGCAAGGCAGGGCGGGCGUCGCUGGGGGUGAUGGGUCCGUGUGUGACAUAAUCGCUCAGGAUAAAUGCAGAGCAAGGCCAAGGUCUCCAAUGGAAACCUUUGAGAGUAGAUAGUCUUAACCAAUGAGCCGCUUCCUUGACACUUCCAGCUCAGAACUGAUGUAUAGUGUUCUCUCUCAAAACGGCUUCUUUCUGGACCACGUAGUCAGGUUGUUUUGCUUGAUCUCAGGAUCAUUGGCUCUUGGGAGAGAAACCGGUUUCUGAUCUCAGUUCUGUUCACAGAGGAGCAAGAAAUUAUAAGGGUUUUAGCGCUCAGAUGAGAAAAGUAGAUUUGACCCCUCAAACAAUGCUGAAAGCAGUGAUUGGACACAAGCAAGAACUUUAUGUUUCUGCUCCCACUCCACUAGCCUUUGAAAUAAACACAGCACCAUUAUAUUGUUAUUAUCCUCAUUUUGAACUGGAAGCUCAAAGAGACAGAAAACUCAUCCAAGUCAGAAUUCAAACCAGGCCUUGUGAGGGGAUCUGGUGAGACAUCUCAUGCCCCGCUGGCUACCUGGCUUGCCACUGCCUGACUCUCAGUCUCUGUUGAGUUCUGUUUCCCCCACCAUCCUGUACCACCUCCGAGGAAGACAGCACUUGGCUGCUUCUCUUAGCAUAUCUGACGCAAAAAUAAGACAUUACCACUGCAAAUAGAGCUGUGGUCUUCCCCCACCCCCCACUGGAAAGUUUUUCUCUUAUGUUCAAGUCUUUAAAAAUAGCCUGAGGUCUCAACUGCAUCAGAAAUAGAGAUAAGAGUGCACAAACACAUGUGAGCCGAAGACCGACGGCUUGUCGGCUCCAAGACACUGGGUUUGUCCAUCAGGUGCUACUCAAAGAUUAUUUCAGCUCCUGGCCUCUGGGUUGCGGACAGCAACUUAGGGGAUGGUGGCGGUGGUUCACAAACACGACCGCCUCUUCUAUCCCAGGGCACACAGUGGGGCUGAGCACAGGCCGAACGCCUUUGUUUUCACAAGUACAUUCUGUAUGUGAGCCGUGGCCCAGGACCACCUUACCACUGCUCUGCCAGGAUUCUGCAGGGCUCCCGCGAGCGCCGCGUGAUUCCAUUUUUUUUCCCUGGGGGAUCUUAUUCAGUGAUUGAAUAAGAAAAUCCAACGUGCGUCCAGGGACACUCAGAGCUACACUAUUCUGAUUAAAAUUGUUUGCCAUGAAGAUUCGAAACUGUUAGAAAAUAGUAGAAAUGAACAUGCGGUGGCCAGAUUACUGAGUGUUCUCAAUGGUUUAUUUAUUUGUUUAUUGAGAUUUAUUUUAUUUAUUUGAAAGGCAGACUCACACAGAGAGAGGGAGACACAGAAAGAGGGAAAGACAGAGGUCUUUCCUCCACUGGUUCACUCCCCAAAUGGCAACAGUGUCCAAACCUGGGCCAAACUGAAGCCAGGAGCCCGGAGCUUCUUCCAGGUCUCCUACGUGGGUACAGGGGUCCAAGCACUUGAGCCAUCUUCUGCUGCUUUCCCAGGUGCAUUAGCAAGGAGCUGGAUUAGAAGAGGAGCAGACAGGACUUGAACCAGCAGCCAUAGGGGAUGCCGGCGCUGCAGGCCAUGGCUUUACCUGCUAUGCCACAGCGCCAGCCCCUCAGUGGUUCAUUUUGAAGAUGAGUUCGAUGGGGCAGACUCGUUGGCAUUUGUGCGAUGCUUAUAGGCUGUGCUUCCUCUGAGGAGACAGAGAGGCAGGUGGAGGUGUUGCUUAACCACUAGAAAAGAGGCAUCCACCCUGUUACAGACAGCACCACGGAUGUGGAGGGUGCAUUUCCCCGUAAGAUGCCGUUUGUCUGGGGCUUCCGAUGAAGAUCAGCUGGCAGAGUGCAAUGGGAAACUGGGUCAUUAUUUUAGGUACAAGAGCUUUCAUUUAAAAUUACCCCCAUAAUGUAUGCUUGCAUUUUUAUGGUUGUGGUUGUGGCUGAAGCAAUCCUGUGAAUUAUCUAGCACCCAGCUUUAAUUACACAUCUUCCUAAGCUAAUGGAUUCCGUUGUCCAUAAUGGAAUUUGUAAAACAUCCAGCCCUCCUCGGUGGGGAUAACUUUCCAAGCUUUGAUUUUGCGACAGCGCUGGCUGCUCCUAUGUGGCAGGUGCAGCCUGCACCCCAGCUGCCCAGGGGGGCUCCUACGGCCCCUCUCCCCUACUUCUUAUUUCUUCUCUCUUCUCAUGUCUCCCUUCUCCACUGACUCUCUACUUCCUAUACAAACUUAACAGUUUUGCUGUUUCCAGAAUGCCCCGAGCUGUGUAGACAAAACAUUUUAUUGUUUGAUUCAAAAAGCUAAUAAUAAUUCUAUUUUUAUCCAAGGUCACGUAGUGCCUGCUAACAUUACCACCGUGUCUUCCUUAGUAUUUACCUCCUUCAGAGCUUCUGUUUGUAAAGUAUGCUCUUUAAAACAAAACAAAACAAAACAAAACAAAACUACACAAAAUUCUUUGUUCUAGGUGGACUCUGAAUGAGUGAGGGCUUUUUUUUUUCCUGGCAAAACCCUGCUCAAGGUCACGUGAAUGUCACAACUUCUCGGGUAAGAUGGCUGAGAUGGUCUGAACACAGAAGCCCUGAGAGGGUUUGGUGGCUAAGAAGGAACCCACAGGGCCCCUCCCUGCCGGCAUUUAUCUCUGUUUGGUUUUCAGGGUUUGGCUUCAGCUGGGUGGAGUUCUUGUCCUUGUAUGUGGCUCGACCUUCAGGCACCCAGAUCUUUGCGUGAGGCCUUCACGGUGCCCUCUCUCUCCUUUGUCUCCUUGUCUUGACCUUGGCUUAUGAA